CAAAAAGGGGCAGUCCGAUAACCGCCCGUCGGAUCGUCACUAUUGGUUCGUUCCUCCGCACGCAAACAGUUCAAACUAUUGAGCGAGAGGGAGAGAUCGGCAGGGGAGAAGAGCGUUAUCCGCACGCCAACCACGAGAGUCGCCGACGCGCUCGCAGGUGGAGGAAAGAUUGAGGAGAAGCAUCGGUUGGGCGGAGAGAGAGACUGCUGGUUGCGAUGGAUCACGAGGCGGAGGCGCAUCGGACGGACCUGAUGACGAUCACGAGGUACGUGCUGAACGAGCAGUCGAGGCACCAGGAAUCACGCGGCGACUUCACCAUCCUGCUUUCCCACAUCGUCCUCGGCUGCAAGUUCGUCUGUUCCGCCGUCAACAAGGCUGGGCUGGCUAAGCUCAUAGGACUUGCUGGAGAGACGAAUGUUCAGGGAGAGGAGCAAAAGAAGCUUGAUGUGCUUUCGAAUGAAGUCUUUGUCAAAGCUUUGAUAAGCAGUGGCCGGACUUGCAUCCUGGUGUCGGAGGAGGAUGAAGAGGCAACUUUUGUGGAUCCAUCGCUACGUGGAAAAUAUUGUGUUGUCUUUGAUCCUCUAGAUGGUUCUUCGAACAUUGAUUGUGGUGUCUCUAUUGGAACGAUAUUUGGCGUUUACAUGGUUAAAGAUAAGGACAAUGUAACCCUAGACGAGGUACUGCAACCAGGGAAGAAUAUGCUAGCAGCUGGCUAUUGCAUGUAUGGAAGUUCUUGCACGCUUGUACUGAGCACCGGGAGUGGUGUCAAUGGUUUCACUCUAGAUCCAUCUCUUGGGGAAUUCAUACUGACCCAUCCAGAUAUUAAGAUACCGAAGAAGGGCAAAAUAUAUUCAGUGAAUGAAGGAAAUGCCAAGAAUUGGGAUGGGCCUACAACAAAGUAUGUGGAGAAAUGCAAGUUCCCCAAGGAUGGAGACUCACCAAAAUCUCUGAGAUAUAUUGGAAGCAUGGUUGCCGAUGUACAUCGUACACUGCUUUAUGGAGGCAUCUUUUUAUACCCUGCGGAUAAGAAGAGUCCAAAUGGGAAACUACGUGUUCUAUAUGAAGUAUUUCCAAUGUCAUUCCUGAUGGAACAAGCAGGGGGUCAAGCUUUUACUGGCAAGCAACGGGCUCUCGAUUUGGUUCCCACGAAGAUACAUCAGAGGUCGCCCAUCUUUCUUGGCAGCUAUGAUGAGGUCGAGGAAAUCAAAGCACUGUAUGCUGCUGAGGAGAACACUGCUUAAUUUAAAGAUGCUUCUGUGGAGUCGAACUAAUCAUGUAACCUGUCAUUAUAAUAAAUCUUCUCACCUGUAAAGCACGGAGUAAAACUUGCUUCAAGUAAUCCCCUUGUCCUCCGCUUCAUCAUAACAAAGGCUUUCUCCAUCGCCCUUGGUUUGAAGGAUGACUAUGGUUAUGUAACACUACGAAUGCGAGGUUGUAUGCAGAAUAGUAGAGAUCAGGAAGGACAAAUCCUGAAAAAACUCGAAGCAGAAGGAUGGAAUGAAAGCGAUGACAGUACCUGUGAAGGGACGCGAUGCUUGUCAGGAUGCCAUUUCAAAGUAGAUGAUGCUUGUCAGUAUCUUGAACGGGAUCAGAACUUCAGGAAGAGGAAUUCUGGACAACUUAUAAGCUUCAGACAUCAUCUAACUUCAAUUCACUCCAUACUCUGCUUUGAAUAUUUUCUCAUCUGGAUUCCUCCUUCGUGAUCUCUGCUAAAAUAUGAUCAUAUUUCAGAUACGAUCAUCCACACAAAAUUAGGAUUAUCAUAUUUCAUUAGUAUAAUAAAAUAGAAGCUCAAGCGGCACAUUGACUUCA